rnacentral:misc_RNA from 1 species
UCCAGCACUUGGAUUCCUUUACUUUGUCCUUUGACCCUUCCCAUAGAAGAAGAUAAGUUUUACCCGCUAGAGUUAUUCUGCUUCUUAUGAUGGGAUUUUGUGAAAGAGAAGAAAGACUUGAUUUCUAGAGUAUGGGUUUCUGAUCGAGUUUGUUUGGAUUCAUCUACGUGUUUCGAGGAUUUGAAGAAAAGGGAAGACUUUUUUUUUUCUUUAAUUAUUGUUUUCGAGGCGAUGGGC